CCAUUCUACUCUUAUCUCUGAUGAGUCUAGACAAGGCUUCCUUUCCUCUCCCAUUCUACUCUUAUCUCUCAUGAGUCUAGACAAGGCUUCCUUCCCUCUCCCAUUCUACUCUUAUCUCUCAUGAGUCUAGACAAGGCUUCCUUUCCUCUCCCAUUCUACUCUUAUCUCUGAUGAGUCUAGACAAGGCUUCCUUUCCUCUCCCAUUCUACUCUUAUCUCUCAUGAGUCUAGACAAGGCUUCCUUUCCUCUCCCAUUCUACUCUUAUCUCUCAUGAGUCUAGACAAGGCUUCCUUCCCUCUCCCAUUCUACUCUUAUCUCUGAUGAGUCUAGACAAGGCUUCCUUCCCUCUCCCAUUCUACUCUUAUCUCUGACGAGUCUAGACAAGGCUUCUUUUCCUCCCCCAUUCUACUCUUAUCUCUGAUGAGUCUAGACAAGGCUUCCUUCCCUCUCCCAUUCUACUCUUAUCUCUCAUGAGUCUAGACAAGGCUUCCUUUCCUCUCCCAUUCUACUCUUAUCUCUGACGAGUCUAGACAAGGCUUCCUUUCCUCUCCCAUUCUACUCUUAUCUCUGACGAGUCUAGACAAGGCUUCCUUUCCUCUCCCAUUCUACUCUUAUCUCUGAUGAGUCUAGACAAGGCUUCCUUCCCUCUCCCAUUCUACUCUUAUCUCUGAUGAGUCUAGACAAGGCUUCCUUCCCUCUCUCAUUCUACUCUUAUCUCUGAAGAGUCUAGACAAGGCUUCCUUUCCUCUCCCAUUCUACUCUUAUCUCUGACGAGUCUAGACAAGGCUUCCUUUCCUCUCCCAUUCUACUCUUAUCUCUCAUGAGUCUAGACAAGGCUUCCUUCCCUCUCCCAUUCUACUCUUAUCUCUGACGAGUCUAGACAAGGCUUCCUUUCCUCUCCCAUUCUACUCUUAUCUCUCAUGAGUCUAGACAAGGCUUCUUUUCCUCUCCCAUUCUACUCUUAUCUCUGACGAGUCUAGACAAGGCUUCUUUUCCUCUCCCAUUCUACUCUUAACCCUGAUGAGUCUAGACAAGGCUUCCUUCCCUCUCCCAUUCUACUCUUAUCUCUGAUGAGUCUAGACAAGGCUUCCUUUCCUUCCCCAUUCUACUCUUAUCUCUGAUGAGUCUAGACAAGGCUUCCUUUAUUUUAUCAAACCAUAAAAUAAUGAAUGUUUAUCAAUUUAGGACUAGGAAGCUAAACAAGUCAUAAUUAACACUUCCUUGUUGCUGAUAUUUUGUAAUUCUCAAUUUCAAUGUUGACUGUAAUAUUACAGUGUUGAUCUCAAUCAGUUUAUAUGUAUUAAUGCUGCAGGUAUGGCAUGUUAAUGUAUUUAUAAUCAUUACUCGCAUGUUAGUUUUGACUGUGAUAGAAUCGAGAGUACAAAUAUUGUACUCGCACAUUAUGCUGCCUGUACUUCCGUGUAUGUGACAGUCACCCAAAUUAAUACAAUGCUAUUUUCAUAUGCUAUUGUUAUUAAAGAUUCAAUCCAUGUAACUUGUAAUCUUUUGUACAUGUAUAUAUUUUAAGUUUAAUUUGGCAAUCCUUCAGGAAGUAAAGGAUAUUGCUGACUAUUUCUUAUUCAUUCGUUUUAUUAGCUGUCUUUAGUUCAGUUCCUAAGUAAUAUUCAAUCAUGUAAACUUGGUGUAUAACUAUAUCAUCAGAUGUACAACACAACUUGGUGUAUAACUAGAUCAUCAGAUGUACAACACAACUUGGUGUAUAACUGUGUGAUCAGAUGUACAACACAACUUGGUGUAUAACAAUGUGAUCAGAUGUACAACACAACUUGGUGUAUAACAAUGUGAUCAGAUGUACAACACAACUUGGUGUAUAACAAUGUGAUCAGAUGUACAACACAACUUGGUGUAUAACUGUGUGAUCAGAUGUACAACACAACUUGGUGUAUAACAAUGUGAUCAGAUGUACAACACAACUUGGUGUAUAACAAUGUGAUCAGGUGUACAACACAACUUGGUGUAUAACUAGAUCAUCAGAUGUACAACACAACUUGGUGUAUAACUAGACCAUCAGAUGUACAACACAACUUGUUGUAUAACUAUAUGAUCAGAUGUACAACACAACUUGGUGUAUAACUAGACCAUCAGAUGUACAACACAACUUGGUGUAUAACAAUGUGAUCAGAUGUACAACACAACUUGGUGUAUAACAAUGUGAUCAGGUGUACAACACAACUUGGUGUAUAACUAGAUCAUCAGAUGUACAACACAACUUGGUGUAUAACUAGACCAUCAGAUGUACAACACAACUUGGUGUAUAACUAUGUGAUCAGAUGUACAACACAACUUGGUGUAUAACAAUGUGGUCAGUUGUACAACACAACUUGGUGUAUAACUAGACCAUCAGGUGUACAACACAACUUGGUGUAUAACUAUAUGAUCAGAUGUACAACACAACUUGGUGUAUAACUAUGUGAUCAGAUGUACAACACAACUUGGUGUAUAACAAUGUGGUCAGUUGUACAACACAACUUGGUGUAUAACUAGACCAUCAGAUGUACAACACAACUUGGUGUAUAACUAUGUGAUCAGAUGUACAACACAACUUGGUGUAUAACAAUGUGAUCAGAUGUACAACACAACUUGGUGUAUAACUAUAUGAUCAGAUGUACAACACAACUUGGUGUAUAACUAUGUGAUCAGAUGUACAACACAACUUGGUGUAUAACUAGAUCAUCAGAUGUACAACACAACUUGUUGUAUAACUAUAUGAUCAGAUGUACAACACAACUUGGUGUAUAACUAGACCAUCAGAUGUACAACACAACUUGGUGUAUAACUGUGUGAUCAGGUGUACAACACAACUUCGUGUAUAACUGUGUGAUCAGGUGUACAACACAACUUGGUGUAUAACUAUGUGAUCAGGUGUACAACACAACUUGGUGUAUAACAAUGUGAUCAGGUGUACAACACAACUUGGUGUAUAACUAGAUCAUCAGAUGUACAACACAACUUGGUGUAUAACUAGAUCAUCAGAUGUACAACACAACUUGGUGUAUAACUAUGUGAUCAGAUGUACAACACAACUUGGUGUAUAACUAUGUGAUCAGAUGUACAACACAACUUGGUGUAUAACUAGAUCAUCAGAUGUACAACACAACUUGGUGUAUAACUAGAUCAUCAGAUGUACAACAUAACUUGGUGUAUAACUAGAUCAUCAGGUGUACAACACAACUUGGUGUAUAACUGUGUGAUCAGAUGUACAACACAACUUGGUGUAUAACUAGAUCAUCAGAUGUACAACAUAACUUGGUGUAUAACUAGAUCAUCAGAUGUACAACACAACUUGGUGUAUAACUGUGUGAUCAGAUGUACAACAACUUGGAGAUCAAAAUUCUUAGAUACUUUGAGCGGAAGGGGGGGGGGGGGGGGAUUGCGUUUUUUAUUUUUUGUUGUUUUUUUUAAUACAAUUAUUUAUGUAUUUCUAUCUCCUUGAACAAUUUUUAGAUUGACAUCAUUUUUUGUAUACACAGUUUAAAUGUUCAUCUAAUCAGUUUUAAGUUUACUUGUUUUAUUAUGAGUUCGGCCAUUUUCGUCUCUCGAAUUCGUCCCGUGUUUUCUGCAGCCAUUGUUUAUUGUAUCAUGUUGUACUUGAUUUCCUUUCUCGUAUCCAGUAAUUAGUUAUGGUAAUACGUAUGUUUGAUGGAGAACAUAUUACAGAAUCUUUUAUGUUUGUAAACGAGAGUGUCAACGAUGCAAUGCACUUGUGUUUAAUGGCUGCAAUGGUUGACGUAUACGACUGUAUGAUCCUAAUACAAAUUGCCCGUACAGACAAUCUGCCUUUGAUAGAUGACGGGGGAAUAAAUGAUUAUAACAUAAA